UGGAUCACCUCCUAACAGGGAGACAACAAAAUGUUUAUAUUAUUAUUUUGUCACCUUAGGUCGAUCGGUAUCUCACAUUCUUAAUUUAUUAAGGAUUUUAUUUCCUAAGUUUUUUCUAGGUCACACCCAUUACUUUUCCUGGGCCAUUAGCUCAGGUGGUUAGAGCGCACCCCUGAUAAGGGUGAGGUCCCUGGUUCAAGUCCAGGAUGGCCCAUAUCUCUAUGCUGGGGGUAUAGCUCAGUUGGUAGAGCGCCUGCUUUGCAAGCAGGAUGUCAGCGGUUCGAGUCCGCUUACCUCCACUGAUUACCACCUCUUCCAUAAUUUGUAUUAGGGAAAUGUUUUGAGUAGUGAUCAAAUUCUGAACGAAUCUAGCUUCCUAAUGAAACCAUUAAGACGCUGGACUCAUUGAAUUAAUUUCAUUGUUUUCAGAGAACCUUGACAACUGCAUAGAUUAUUUUUAAAGACAAUAAGCAUCUUUAUGAUGCAGACUUAUUAUUUGUGCGAAUGCAUUAAUAACAAUUCUAUUAAGCUGAUGCUUCAAUUAUGAAGUUAUUGGUCAAGCUACAAAGGGCUCACGGAGGAUACCUAGGCACACAGAGGCGAUGAAGG
rnacentral:tRNA from 1 species